GUGCUCACUUCGACAGCACAUAUACUAAAACUAGAAUGAUACAGAGAAGAUUGGUAUGGCCUCUGCACAAGAAUGACACACAGAUUCAUGAAGCAUUCCAUAUUUUU